rnacentral:rRNA from 1 species
GAUGAACGCUGGCGGCGUGCCUAAUACAUGCAAGUCGAGCGAACGGACGAGAAGCUUGCUUCUCUGAUGUUAGCGGCGGACGGGUGAGUGACACGUGGAUAACCUACCUAUAAGACUGGGAUAACUUCGGGAAACCGGAGCUAAUACCGGAUAAUAUUUUGAACCGCAUGGUUCAAAAGUGAAAGACGGUCUUGCUGUCACUUAUAGAUGGAUCCGCGCUGCAUUAGCUAGUUGGUAAGGUAACGGCUUACCAAGGCAACGAUGCAUAGCCGACCUGAGAGGGUGAUCGGCCACACUGGAACUGAGACACGGUCCAGACUCCUACGGGAGGCAGCAGUAGGGAAUCUUCCGCAAUGGGCGAAAGCCUGACGGAGCAACGCCGCGUGAGUGAUGAAGGUCUUCGGAUCGCAAAACUCUGUUAUUAGGGAAGAACAUAUGUGUAAGUAACUGUGCACAUCUUGACGGUACCUAAUCAGAAAGCCACGGCUAACUACGUG